GGUCUCCAAGGAGGGAGUAGAGGUAUCUUACACUUGUGGGUUAAGGUGGGGGGAUACAAGAGGAGGACGCAAAGGAGGCUUUGGAUUGGGAAGAAGGGUGGCAAUGAGGUGUGGCUGUAGCCCAGGAAUAGUCAGGGAAGCAGAUAAUUUAGUUAAAGUGUCUCAGCCUAAUAAGGGAACUGGGCAGGUGGGGAUAAGUAAAAGGAGUGCUUAAAAGAGUACUGUCUAAUUUGGCACCAGAGUUGGGGAGUUUUAAGAGGUUUAGAAGCCUGGCCGUGAAUACCCACAACAGUUAUGGAGGCAAGGGAAACAAGCCCUUGAAAAGAAGGUGAUGUGGAGUGGAUAGCCUCCGUAUUGAUUAAGAAGGGGAUGGACUUACUUUCCACUGUGAGAGUUAUGGGAAGCUUGGCGUCCCUGAUGGUCUAGGGGGCUUCUGAGGCAAUCGGGCAGCGUCAGUCUUCAGCCGCUAAGCCAAGAAGAUCUGGGAAGCAGUCAGCCUUGGGCCAGACUUCCAGGAGCUCUGGGAGUGGCUGCCAGGUUUUUGGACUUUACGAUGGCGUUUCGGAAGCAUUAAGCUCUCAGCAGAAGCCACACUCUGAAUUCCGAUCUUUUCCUGGGCUGGUGAUGGAUGCGCAGCACAGUGCCCUCCUGCAGUACUGAGCGGUGGCAGGGAGCAGCAGUCCCAGCCAGCUGUGCCAUCGCGAGGGGAAGUGGCCGGCAUGGAUCGUUAAGUCAGGGAACAUCUGUCCCUUCUUCGUGAAUAUCUGUGUUCAAGUCUCUUGCUCAUUUGUUAAAUUGGGCUUUUCAUCUUAAUUUUGGUUUGCAGUUUUCUCCCCUAUAUCCGAGGUCUGAGUCCUUUGUCAGGACACACAGUGUGAUUUCUUGCCUGGCAUUCCGUUCCUUGCUUGUCCAUUUUCAAGAGCAGAACAUUUUCACGUUGAUGGAAGCCCGAUGUCUUUCUUCUACGACACAGGUGGUGGCCAGACCUGGCACACGGAUGCAGCUGACCCUGGAAGCUGAAGGGCAGUGAAACCCAUCUGAUUAAGAUGCUCAACUUUUCUGAAGAAAAAGCUGACACCAAGACCUGCCUAAGGUCACACCAUCAUGAGUGGCUGAGUUGGGCUGUGAUGAGCCACCCGGCUGGAGAGCUUGUGCCCUGGUUACACGAUUGCCAGUGAGAUGCCUAUGGACUCGCAUGUAGAGGUGGGUACCCAGACAGCUCAGAGUGAGCUGCCUGCGGGCCCAGCAUGCAGAGGUGUGUACUCAGUGCUGUGUGAGAUGCCUGUGGGCCCAGGCACGGAGGGAUGCAUGCGUGCCCAGAAAGCAAAAGGCUGUGCAGAGGACCUGCUAGGAGGUAAUGACUAGAGAACAUGUUUUUAAGCAAACAGGUGAAGGGAAAAUGCAAAAUAAGGAGCUACAUAAGCAUCACAUCUUAAGAAUCAUUAUGGAGCACCUAACUGUGACUUGUUGGGCUGGGAGCCAAACAACAUAGGUGGGACACGCUGCACAUAAAAGUAACAAGCUGGAGGUCCAGAGGAACCCUUGGAGCCGUCCCAAGACUGAGAGCCGGUGUCAGGCACCACCUCUUCUGGGCACCUGGGCUAUGGCAGUGGGGAGGAUGAGCCCCUGAUCCCAGAGGCCACUCUCUCACACAGUGCAGUGCAGUCUUUCUCACACAGGACCUAGUGUAACACGGGACCUAAUGGCAGGACACAUCAACCCAUUAAAAAUCCAAGCAAGGUACAAGAGAUUUCUAGAAACAAAGAAUCAGGCUUUAUUUUU
rnacentral:lncRNA from 1 species